AUUGAACGCUGGCGGCAGGCCUAACACAUGUAAGUCGAACGGUAACAGGAAGCAGCUUGCUGCUUCGCUGACGAGUGGCGGACGGGUGAGUAAUGUCUGGGAAGCUGCCUGAUGGAGGGGGAUAACUACUGGAAACGGUAGCUAAUACCGCAUAAUGUCGCAAGACCAAAGAGGGGGACCUUCGGGCCUCUUGCCAUCGGAUGUGCCCAGAUGGGAUUAGCUUGUUGGUGGGGUAACGGCUCACCAAGGCGACGAUCCCUAGCUGGUCUGAGAGGAUGACCAGCCACACUGGAACUGAGACACGGUCCAGACUCCUACGGGAGGCAGCAGUGGGGAAUAUUGCACAAUGGGCGCAAGCCUGAUGCAGCCAUGCCGCGUGUAUGAAGAAGGCCUUCGGGUUGUAAAGUACUUUCAGCGGGGAGGAAGGGAGUAAAGUUAAUACCUUUGCUCAUUGACGUUACCCGCAGAAGAAGCACCGGCUAACUCCGUG
rnacentral:rRNA from 1 species